CUAGGGAAGUACAAUUUAAGGUUACAAUUGGAGUCCAAAAGUAUCUGACUUGAGACCUAGGUUGAGGCACUGGGUCAUUUUAGAAAACUGGGAAAACAGGAAUCAAUUAAAAAUGUAUUGCAAUAACUAUGAGUAGAUGCCUGGAAAGGUCUAAAGAAUUUAUGAAAUGUAUAAGAAAACGACUGUAUAUGUGUACAUCACAGUUGAAGCAGCCCCUGAAGACUAGAAACCUCAAGAGGCCUCGCUCAGAAAGCCACGGGCCAUUACCUAACUCUGUGACUACUAAUUAAGCCAGGGAUGUUUACAGUGUUCUUAAAGAUCUGUGAGGCUACUUAAACCUUGCAUUUAUGUAUGACAUUCUUUUAAGAAGGCUCUGCAGGAAUUACCAAUCUUCUGAAGCUUCAGUGUUGAUAUUUAUUAGAGGCUGAUUUUCUGCAUGGUCCUGGUCCCUUGCAAGAAGCAGGGACCAUAAGUGGGAAAGGAAAUAAGAGAACAAUCUGGAAACACCAGGAAAGAGUCCUCUCUUUGGAUGCAAAUCCUGCCCACACAGCCUCCAGUGAGAGAGAUUUCUUUAUUUUACAAAUAUCCAAGGAUAAGGUGUCCCUAAUGUCUAGGUGUUCUACUAGAUUGCAUGGUAAAAACCUGAGCUGUGCUCAAUUUAGUGUUUACUACUGCUUGGUGGGGAAACUGGAAAUGAAGUUAGAUCAAGGGAAGUAGACUGGAGAGGAUAAAAUGUCCCGUAUUUGUUUCUCAGGUUUCUGAUCUGUCCCCAGAGUCCCUGUUAUUAGCACUGCCCUACUCUGCCUCUCCCCUCGAGCCUACCCAGUGUAAGGAUUAGUCUCAAAGCAUGUGAGAAGCUCUGAACUGCUUACUUGGAAGAAAAUGAAACAGGGUUCAUUCCUAUCCUUUUGGGGUCUUGGGCUUGAAGUGAGAGGAUCCUUUUGAUUUCCUUGGCACAGUUACUCUGUGCAUUACCAGGACUGAAGUGCAGGAAUAUGAGACCAACCCACAAGCACUUCCAUCUGACAGAAGCAAAUGGGAAAUGAGUCUUUUGCUGCUUCUCUGAACAUCAGGUCUCUCUACUUCUCUCUAGUGGUGAAUGAAAGGAUCACCAAUGUUGGCAGAUAAUCAGCCAGGCACAGCAACAUCACAUUGUUGUUGGGGGUUGUUGCAUUAAAAACUCCUCCUUAGGAACAGGGAUAGUUCAGUUGGUAGAAUGCUUGCCUGGCAUACACAAGGCCCUGGGUUCAAUCCCCAACCCCCACACCACCAAAAAAAAAUAAAUAAAUAAACACCACCUUCUCCCUUCCUGGUGUUAACUAUAUUCCUGAAAAAAAAUACUGAUAUAGCUUUUUCUAAUUUUUACUUUUCUUCACUUUUUCCUUCUACUCAGGGAUGUCCUUAUCCAUGUGAUAGAGCUGAAACUUGUAAUGGGCUAGCACCAUCUAAUGCACAGAAAAAAUGUUUUAAUAUUUUUUUUUAAUUCAAAUCAAUGUAUCUGCUUAGCUCUACAUAAAUUACAAUACACUGGUUUCCAAGCACUUCAUUUCCUUACCUGUCGGGUUGCAGAACGCCCUAGGGAGAAACAAGCUUGUAACAAAGGGAGAAUUAUAUAAAGCUUCAGGGAGACUAACUACAUAGAAUAAUUAGUGAUCAUGAUAAACCAGCUUUAAUUAUGGUUUCUAACAGCUGAUUCUAAAACUGUAUUGUUACUACAGCCAAAGUUUGUCCAAAGAAAAUUCCUUUCUUAGUUUCUCUGAUAAGUGAACUGACCAGGAACUUGAUGUGGGUGAUAUAGUUGAUGUGCUCUUUGGAGGUUCUGAUGCUAAAAUGCUUUAUAUGAACUCUGUGGCUGUAGAAUCUUUCUCAUCUCCUACACACUGACCUUUCAAGAAGAGACCUAAAUGAAUGGCUUUAAUGUUUAAACAAUCUUCUGUAUGUUUUAUGUUUAACCAGU
rnacentral:lncRNA from 1 species